rnacentral:rRNA from 1 species
AACGAACGCUGGCGGCAGGCUUAACACAUGCAAGUCGAACGCCCCGCAAGGGGAGUGGCAGACGGGUGAGUAACGCGUGGGAACAUACCCUUUGGUGCGGAACAACAACUGGAAACGGUUGCUAAUACCGCAUGAGCCCUACGGGGGAAAGAUUUAUCGCCAAAGGAUUGGCCCGCGUCGGAUUAGCUAGUUGGUGGGGUAAUGGCCUACCAAGGCGACGAUCCGUAGCUGGUCUGAGAGGAUGAUCAGCCACACUGGGACUGAGACACGGCCCAGACUCCUACGGGAGGCAGCAGUGGGGAAUAUUGGACAAUGGGCGCAAGCCUAAUCCAGCCAUGCCGCGUGAGUGAUGAAGGCCCUAGGGUUGUAAAGCUCUUUCAGCGAGGAGGAUAAUGACGUUACUCGCAGAAGAAGCCCCGGCUAACUUCGUGCCAGCCGCCGCAGUAA